UACGGGGGGGGCAAGCGUUGUUCGGAAUUACUGGGCGUAAAGGGUUCGUAGGUGGCCUGCUAAGUCAGACGUGAAAUCCCUCAGCUUAACUGGGGAACUGCGUCUGAGACUGGUGGGCUUGAGUGCAGGAGAGGAACGCGGAAUUCCAGGUGUAGCGGUGAAAUGCGUAGAUAUCGGGAGGAACACCAGUGGCGAAGGCGACUACCUGGCCUGUUCUUGACGCUGAGGCGCGAAAGCUAGGGGAGCAAACGGG
rnacentral:rRNA from 1 species